rnacentral:lncRNA from 1 species
AGUUCUCGCUGAAGACCACAUCGGUGUCUCGGCACACGUCUGCCCACUGACAUUGAGUCAGGCGACGCCUUGUCUUUGACACGGAAUGAAGACGUGCGCUUGUACGCCUGUGUCGUAUCCAUGACAGCGCUGCGGAUGGAUUCCCAAGCGGCAUGCGGCGUACCUCGGUGGCCCUUACCGCGCCUCUCGGAGGCGUGCAGGGAAGGCUCCUUAACAACCAGGUUCCUCGACGGCAUGAGUCAACCCACUGACAUUGAGCCAUGGCGGGCAAUCUGCAAGACACACCGGGGUCGUAUCCAUGACACUGCUGUGGAUGGAUUCCAAAGCA